rnacentral:rRNA from 1 species
UGGGGAAUUUUGGACCAUGGGGGAAACCCUGAUCCAGCCAUCCCGCGUGUGCGAUGAAGGCCUUCGGGUUGUAAAGCACUUUUGGCAGGAAAGAAACGUCAUGGGUUAAUACCCCGUGAAACUGACGGUACCUGCAGAAUAAGCACCGGCUAACUACGUGCCAGCAGCCGCGGUAAUACGUAGGGUGCAAGCGUUAAUCGGAAUUACUGGGCGUAAAGCGUGCGCAGGCGGUUCGGAAAGAAAGAUGUGAAAUCCCAGAGCUCAACUUUGGAACUGCAUUUUUAACUACAGGGCUAGAGUGUGUCAGAGGGAGGUGGAAUUCCGCGUGUAGCAGUGAAAUGCGUAGAUAUGCGGAGGAACACCGAUGGCGAAGGCAGCCUCCUGGGAUAACACUGACGCUCAGGCACGAAAGCGUGGGGAGCAAACAGG